UCGGGAAUUUUGGGCAAUGGGCGAAAGCCUGACCCAGCAACGCCGCGUGAAGGAUGAAGUAUUUCGGUAUGUAAACUUCGAAAGAAUAGGAAGAAUAAAUGACGGUACUAUUUAUAAGGUCCGGCUAACUACGUGCCAGCAGCCGCGGUAAUACGUAGGGACCAAGCGUUGUUCGGAUUUACUGGGCGUAAAGCGCGCGUAGGUGGUUUGUUAAGUUGGAUGUGAAAUCCCCGGGCUCAACCUGGGAACUGCAUUCAAAACUGACUGACUAGAGUAUGGUAGAGGGUGGUGGAAUUUCCUGUGUAGCGGUGAAAUGCGUAGAUAUAGGAAGGAACACCAGUGGCGAAGGCGACCACCUGGACUGAUACUGACACUGAGGUGCGAAAGCGUGGGGAGCAAACAGGAUUAGAUACCCAGGUAGUCCCUGAGCGGGCUGGCAAGGCGCAU
rnacentral:rRNA from 1 species